rnacentral:rRNA from 1 species
CACGUAGGGCGCAAGCGUUGUCCGGAAUUAUUGGGCGUAAAGAGCGUGUAGGCGGUCAGGUAGGUCAGCUGUGAAAACUCGAGGCUCAACCUCGAGCUGUCGGCUGAAACCAUCUGGCUAGAGUCCGGAAGAGGAGAAUGGAAUUCCCGGUGUAGCGGUGAAAUGCGCAGAUAUCGGGAAGAACACCCGUGGCGAAGGCGGUUCUCUGGGACGGUACUGACGCUGAGACGCGAAAGCGUGGGGAGCGAACAGG